rnacentral:rRNA from 1 species
CCUACGGGAGGCUGCAGUAGGGAAUAUUGCACAAUGGAGGAAACUCUGAUGCAGCGAUGCCGCGUGAGUGAAGAAGGCCUUUGGGUUGUAAAGCUCUUUCGUCGGGGAAGAAAAUGACGGUACCCGAAUAAGAAGGUCCGGCUAACUUCGUGCCAGCAGCCGCGGUAAUACGAAGGGACCUAGCGUAGUUCGGAAUUACUGGGCUUAAAGAGUUCGUAGGUGGUUAAAAAAGUUGGUUGUGAAAUCCCGAAGCUUAACUUCGGAACUGCAAUCAAAACUUUUUAGCUAGAGUAUGAUAGAGGAAAGCAGAAUUUCUAGUGUAGAGGUGAAAUUCGUAGAUAUUAGAAAGAAUACCAAUUGCGAAGGCAGCUUUCUGGAUCAUUACUGACGCUGAGGAACGAAAGCAUGGGUAGCGAAGAGGAUUAGAUACCCUGGUAGUC